CAGGGAGAAGCCCAGCACCGAAGCCUGUGGCCAAUUGGUCACUAGGCAAUGUGGUGUUCAGGUCGUUCCGCAGGGGUACUGCUCCACCCUAAGUCCAGCAAUGAGUACGGUAGUACGGACAUGGCCCACAGAGGGUGAAAGGCCCGUGGGGGUGGAGAUCCGGUAGGCCAGUACCCUUCUGGAUAGACCUUGGAGUCGGGUUGUUUGUGAAUGCAGCCCAAAGUGGGUGGUAAACUCCAUCCAAGGCUAAAUACAAGCACGAGUCCGAUAGCGAACAAGUACCGUGAGGGAAAGUUGAAAAGUACUUUGAAGAGAGAGUAAACAGUACGUGAAACCGCUCAGAGGUAAACGGGUGGAGUUGAACUGCAAACGCUGAGAAUUCAGCUGGUGAGUGUGCCUUGGGCUUGGUCAAAUCGCUGGAGCAUCGAAGUCUGUGUAGCAGCAGGUCUCUGCUUCCGGGUAGAGAUGCGCGAUGUACUUAUCAAGUGCUGCGCGCUUCGGUGCUUCUCGGGCGGCUUGCCAGUGCACUUUCUCAGCGCGGUCACCACGACCGGCACUGUCGUCUGGCUGUCACGGUUAAACCGGCCUUGCAUUGUCCUUGUGGCUCUGCUCGGUCGGGAUGGCAGGUAGCUCUUGGGUUCGCCGUCACUCGGUGGCCCGAGUGUAAUGAGCUGACCGUGAUGGCUGUGUGCGAUGUGUCGGAGACGGCGGCUUGUAGUGUGUGCAUGCGUGCGUGACCAGCUGACGGAUCUGGGUUUUGUUUUUGCCCGUUGCAACGGGCCUGGUGAUGCUUUGGGUUCGUUUGGCUGGCGGUUGCGUGUGUGACACUAUCUUCGGGCCAACAGUCUGUGGUGUAGUGGUAGACUAUCCACCCGACCCGUCUUGAAACACGGACCAAGGAGAGUAACAUGUACGCGAGUCAUUGGGCUUUACGAAACCCAAAGGCGUAGUGAAAGUGAAGGUCCGGCUUGUCUGGACUGAGGUGAGAUCCUGUCGUUUCUCACGCGCGGUGUCACCAAGCAUCGAGCGGCAGGCGCAUCACCGGCCCGUCCCAUGACGAUUGUUCACGGACGCCAAUCAGUCGGGGCGGAGCAUGAGCGUACAUGUUGAGACCCGAAAGAUGGUGAACUAUGCUUGUGCAGGUUGAAGCCAGAGGAAACUCUGGUGGAGGACCGAAGCGGUUCUGACGUGCAAAUCGAUCGCCAGACAUGAGUAUAGGGGCG
rnacentral:rRNA from 1 species